CAGCCGCCACGGGAAUACGUAGGGUGCGAGCGUUAAUCGGAAUUACUGGGCGUAAAGCGUGCGCAGGCGGUUGUGUAAGACAGAUGUGAAAUCCCCGGGCUUAACCUGGGAACUGCAUUUGUGACUGGCGGGCUAGAGUAUGGCAGAGGGGGGUAGAAUUCCACGUGUAGCAGUGAAAUGCGUAGAGAUGUGGAGGAACACCAGUGGCGAAGGCGACUCUCUGGUCUGUAACUGACGCUGAGGCGCGAAAGCGUGGGGAGCAAACAGGAUUAGAUACCCCUGUAGUCCCUGUCUCUUAUAC
rnacentral:rRNA from 1 species